GCCUGCUGUUGUCGAUCGAUGAUGCUCACGUGAUCCUGUCACUGAUAGUGGAGCCUGUAACUAGCAGAAAAGGAGAUAGUUUGUGCAACAGCAACAAGGUGCGGGUCCAAACCCAUCUGUCAAGAUGCUUGUCCACUUGCUGUCCGCCCCACCAGCCCAACGAUUGUGCUGGAGAGCCUCUGACCACAAGUCAUAGUGGUAGAGAUAGAAGAAGUGCCCUUGACGAGGAAACCAUGGCAGCCAUAUAUACGGUAAGUCAAUACUUGGUGAAAGGAAAAUUUACUAGAAACAUUAAGUUAUAAAAAAUAACUGAUUUUUGUCUCACAGUCAAGAAGAGAUUUCCAAAUGUGUCCAAAGAGGCUUUGAGGAUUUGAACUGGGGAAGCUGAGACUUCUUGAAAGCAAAAAAGUUAUAUUUGUUUGAAUAUUGUAAUUUUUUGAACAUUGUAAAGUAUGUUCCUUGCUGAUUUUUUUAUUCAAAUGUUCAUGUGUUAUAGACAACAAAUAAAAGUUUUUCAAAUGUGACAUGUGAAUGUAUUUUUUUGGGUUGAAAUAUAUGUAGGGCAAAAUAUAUUUUGAAA